rnacentral:tRNA from 2 species
CGUAGCUCAGUUGGUAGAGCAACUGACUUUUAAUCAGUAGGUCCAGGGUUCGAAUCCCUGCG